GUUUGAAUAAUUUUUUUUUAAAAAAUUAUUGGAGUCUUUCCCUUUAGAUUGCUUUUGAGUUUGUAAAGAAUUCGAAAACAUCUAAAGGGGAUGGUCAAUAAUUUUUUUGAAAAAAGACAUUUUUUAAAAUUAAACUUUUUGUAUUCAUUUGUCUAAAAAUUAUUUUUAUAAUAUAUAAAAACAACUUUUGACAAUGGAUCUCUUGGUUCUCGCAACGAUGAAGAACGCAGCAAAAUGCGAUAAGUAGUGUGAAUUGCAGAAUACGUGAAUCAUCGAAUCUUCGAACGCAUAUUGCACUUUUUUAGUUUACUAAAAAAGUAUGUCUGUUUGAGUAUCAGUAAAAUAUUCUCAUAAAAUUUUUUAAUUUUAUGGUUAUGAGUGUUUUACAACGAUAAACAAGUUGUUUCACUUUAAAUUGAAUUUUUUUGAAGAAAUUCUUUAAUUCAAAUUAAAUUUGGAUAAAAUUUUCCGUAAAAAGGAAUAACUAUACAAGUUUAAUAAGAAUUUAGUGAUUUCUUUUAUGAAAAGGAAAUUUAUUAAAUAACUUGAUCUCAAAUCAGAUAAGAGUACCCGCUGAACUUAAGCAUAUCAGUAAGCGGAGGAAAAGAAACUAACAAGGAUUCCCUUAGUAACGGCGAGUGAAGCGGGAAGAGCUCAAAUUUGAAAUCUUCAAGGUUUUACCUUGACGAAUUGUAGUUUAAAGAAGUGUUUUCUGCUGAAGUUUUGGUAAAAGUUCUUUGGAAUAGGACAUCAUAGAGGGUGAGAAUCCCGUAUUUGACCAUUAUUUUCAGCUUUGUGAUACACUUUCAAAGAGUCGGAUUGUUUGGGAAUGCAGUCCAAAAUGGGUGGUAAAUUUCAUCUAAAGCUAAAUAUUGGCGAGAGACCGAUAGCGAACAAGUACCGUGAGGGAAAGAUGAAAAGAACUUUGAAAAGAGAGUUAAACAGUACGUGAAAUUGUCAAAAGGGAAGCGUUUGACACCAGUGUUGUUUUCUCGAAAAUCAAUUAAAAAUGGCUCGAUUUUGUAUUGCUGAGACCUUAAAAGCUCACUGUACAUUUUUCGUGUCUUUUUUAAUGCACUUUUCGUUUAACAAGUCAACAUCAGUUUCUUUUGUUGUAAAAGGGUCAUUGGAAGGUGGCUUUCUUUUCAGAGAAAGUGUUUAUAGCCUUUGGCCUCUGCAAUCGGAGAGACUGAGGUCUGCAGCGUAGACUCUUCGGGGUUAGAUACAUUUGUGCUAAGUUAUAGCUUUUUAUAGACAACUUGUUAACUAUAAUUAGUCUUGUAGCUUACUCGCUUAUGCUAUUUUACCUACGCUUAGGAU
rnacentral:misc_RNA from 1 species